rnacentral:rRNA from 1 species
GACGAACGCCGGCGGCGUGCCUAAUACAUGCAAGUAGAACGCUGAAGAGAGGAGCUUGCUCUUCUUGGAUGAGUUGCGAACGGGUGAGUAACGCGUAGGUAACCUGCCUGGUAGCGGGGGAUAACUAUUGGAAACGAUAGCUAAUACCGCAUGAUAUUAAUUGUCGCAUGAUAAUUAAUUGAAAGAUGCAAUUGCAUCACUACCAGAUGGACCUGCGUUGUAUUAGCUAGUUGGUGAGGUAACGGCUCACCAAGGCGACGAUACAUAGCCGACCUGAGAGGGUGAUCGGCCACACUGGGACUGAGACACGGCCCAGACUCCUACGGGAGGCAGCAGUAGGGAAUCUUCGGCAAUGGGGGGAACCCUGACCGAGCAACGCCGCGUGAGUGAAGAAGGUUUUCGGAUGUAAAGCUUUGUUGUAAGAGAAGAACGGGUGUGAGAG